AACCUGCUUCGGCGGGCCGAGGUGGGGGUGCUUGAGCUGGUUUGUGGAGGCAGAAGAGAGGAGGCUAGGCGGAGCUUCUGUUCCAAAAUUCACCCCCCCCCAAGUGCGGUUGACAGUGUGCAGGCGGGUGGGGGUGCGGGGCGGCGGUGCACAAUCCAGCGAAGCUUCGGCGGGGGCAGAGAUGUAGUAUAAAUCGUUAAUGGAUGUCCAGGGCGCGCCGUGUCACCGGCUGCUGGCCAGAGGUACUGGGAAGGCGCGGGCAGGAGCCUGGCGAGGAUGCACCUUCCCCUGGCUUGGAAAGAUCCCACAGAGACUGUCCUCUUCUCUCCCUGCCAUCACGAUGACAUCCCCUGUCCUUUCUUCACUGGAACGUACGGAACAUACAUAUUCAUGACAGAAAAAUCUAUGUGGCUGCUUCUGAAGAUAAAAGCUACUUUUGAUUAUGUAAUGUAACA